GUGACCUGCGGAGGAUCACUA
rnacentral:rRNA from 1 species